GGAGAAAAGACUGCGAGGAGGCUGCGGCUGUGACCGAGAGAGAAAGGGCUGUGUGACAUGUUUUUGAGGAUAUGGAAAUGGAACCGUCCUCUAAUUAGCACAGAGAAUGAACCAGCCUUGCAGGAGAAAACACUACAAAUUAGCUGACAGCUGGUAGAGAAGAUGCUCUAUUUCUGUGCUCAGUGCCUGUGGGAUCUGUGAUGGAAAUGAUGGCCGGCUGUGGUGAAAUUGAUCACUCACUAAAUAUGCUUCCUACCAAUAAGAAGGCGAGUGAGACCUGUUCUAACACUGCACCUUCUCUAACAGUUCCCGAGUGUGCCAUUUGUCUACAAACAUGUGUUCAUCCAGUCAGUCUGCCCUGUAAGCAUGUUUUCUGUUAUCUGUGUGUAAAGGGCGCUUCAUGGCUCGGGAAGCGAUGUGCUCUUUGUCGGCAAGAGAUUCCUGAGGAUUUUCUUGACAAGCCAACCUUGUUGUCACCAGAAGAACUUAAGGCUGCAAGCAGAGGAAAUGGUGAAUAUGUGUGGUAUUAUGAAGGAAGAAAUGGAUGGUGGCAGUAUGAUGAGCGCACCAGUCGGGAGCUAGAAGAUGCUUUUUCCAAAGGUAAAAAGAACACGGAAAUGUUAAUUGCUGGAUUUCUGUACGUUGCUGAUCUUGAAAACAUGGUUCAAUAUAGGAGAAAUGAACAUGGACGUCGCAGAAAGAUUAAAAGAGAUAUAAUAGAUAUACCAAAGAAGGGAGUGGCUGGACUUCGGCUGGACUGUGACAGCAACACUGUAAAUCUAGCCAGAGAGAGUUCUGCCGAUGGUGCGGACAGUGGGUCAGCACACACUGGAGCUUCUGUGCAGCUUCCAGUGCCAUCUUCUACAAGGCCUCUAACAUCAGUCGAUGGUCAGUUAACCAGCCCUGUAACACCGUCCCCUGAUGCAGGCGCUUCUUUGGA
rnacentral:lncRNA from 1 species